rnacentral:tRNA from 1 species
CGCGGGGUGGAUCAUCCUGGUAGCUCGUCGGGCUCAUAACCCGAAGGUCGUCGGUUCAAAUCCGGCCCCCGCAA